ACUUGGCUGAAACAACGCGAUUCACAUGGAUUACUUCGGCGAUGUUUUUUAUUGCUGUUGCGAUUAACUUUUUGAAAUGUGAGCAGUUUUUAAGUAUCAAGUGGAUCUGACAUCGAGGGGAAAUAUACGUUUCUUGGAUUUCAUUAAAGUACAUCGGUUUUUGUUUGAAGAUGAAUGAGAGAACAUGAGGCGGCAUUCAAAUUGACCAAUCAGAGCCGAGAAUAUCUAAUAAGUCGAAGUAGAGAUGAACAGAUGAAGAUACAGCCCGUAAAAAUACUUAUUCUUGGUGAGUGCCAUGUAGCGACGGAUCAAACGGACACUCAUGUCAAGCUUGAUGAGGACGCAGUCAAAGCUUUAAAAGACCUUGUGAUUAAGUCUUCAGUGUCUGAAUGGCAAGAAGAAGUGACCCUCCGCUUAAACGUGACAUUUAAACUGCUCUGUGUUUUGGUUCAGCCAUUU